CGCCAAUGAAACCUUGAUCUGCUCCACAAACCUGAUCUACCAUCCAGACCCAGAGUUCAUCAGCUUCACAUCCACACAGAGGGGUGACCACGUCCAGAUCACCAUACAGAGAAAAGCAGACAAACUGGAGAUAACACCAGCGGAGUUGUCAGUAUGGGGGGAGCAGGAGGAGAAACGAUACCCCUGCAUCAUGGAAGACAAAGACCCUGGUGAAGAGUUCAACUUUUACUCUUGUGAGAUUCAGAGCCCACCCAGCGCACAGUUCCAGACGUUAAUGAUUAAAUACGGUGACAAGACAGUGUUACUUGCUCCUCCAAUGUUAAUGCCUCCAGUCAUUGUCAUCCUGCGCUUCAUGCUGAUCCCCUGUGUUAUUGCUGCGCUGGUGUUUAUCUGUCUAUGGGAUAAGAAAGUCGCCACAAAGAGGAACAAACACUGAUCACUGGUGCUGUUUUAUAAGAAAAAAGUUCAAGAUCGUCUCAAAAGAAAGGUUUGGAUUUGUUGUUUAUAUUACUAGUAAUUUCAGUUGCUUGUAUGUCCGCACUGUAAAUGUGGCUGGUUAAAGCUUCUAAACACCACAGGCAGCGGCUCCAUUUCUGUUCUUUUUUAAAGUUUAAUUUGCCAUUAAAACAUUUCUUUUGGUUUGUUGUGAAGCAGAUACUGUGACCAGCAAAGACAGAAUCCAACAGAUUUCAGACUGACUGUGUAUCACUGGGAUCAGGUUCUCAUGUUCAUGUAUCUCAUGUUUACUGUAUAAAGAGGAAGCUUGUGGGAAACAGUUUAAUCAUGUGAAGCACUUUUUUGUAUUUUUAUUCAGUUACGAUCAUUUAUAGCUCAUAUUUACAACACAUUUCUUGUAACUUUUUGUUUAACUUUGUACUAUUACUCAGA